rnacentral:misc_RNA from 1 species
GAGAAUCACAGCCGCAGCCACAGGUAACAAACACUCAUCUCGGUGAAAUUGUCCGUUCACGAAAUCCUUUUUGCUUCUCUCUUCAUUUGCUUCCUUCUUUCAAUAUUUGUUUGAAUUUCUCUGUAAUAAAAUUCAUAUCUGUCAAUUUCUUAAAAAUAGAGGUUGCUUUAUGUCUAAUUCAUUCUAUGGUUCGUUUUCAAUUGUGG